ACACCGAAUCCCAGACGCAUGGGUUUUGAAGGAUGGAUAGGAGUUGGCCAGACUAAACAGGCACAUGAAAGAGACCCCUAGAAGAGGGAACAAUACUGUCAAACACAUUCACCAGGGGUUCCCCUCUAGGGAGGCUCAGAGCAUCUUGCUGAGGUGGGCCGAUGGGAUGCCAGGAUCCAGAGAAGAGGCUGUUUCCCAAGGUCACCUUGGAUCCCAGGGGUUCAGCCCUCCCAGUUCCAGCUCCUCACCCAGUGCCAGCGCUGCCUCUGAAAGGAAGUUCCCCCUAUGCAGUCCCACCAGGAGUGGAAUCGGGGUCUCCCAGGGCCUCAGGCUCCAGCCAGCAGUUGGAGGUGCUGAUGGGGGGGGUGAGGUGAUGAUCAUGAAGUUGGUGAUUUUUGAGGCACCGACGGCACAUUAUUGUUCCCUCAUUCACACACUUCCCUGGGCUCCUCUGGGGACACAGUGGACAACGGCCAAGCAAGUCACACUCCCGCCCCUUCCCCUCCCACCCACCACAUCCCCGGAGGCUUGAGUCACCCUGGCAGGGCAGGUGGGUGCCUAUGGGGAGCCCAGGGCCCCUGCUUGGGUGUGGACCAAGGCUCUGUUCUCGGAGGACCCUGACAGACCCUGGGUGUGGCAUGGCGGUGUUGGAUGAGGUAGAGGGCUCGGUUGUGGGUGUCUAGGUCAUCGGCCCAGGGCCAGGAUGCGGAGCCCGCAGAACUAGGACCCACAUGCAGUGGGAGCCCAAGCCCUCACGGCUCACACUGCUCCCUGUCAUCCCCAGCAGAUGGAGAGGCGGUAGCAGGCUCCUAAGGCUGCCGCCCUACACAGCCUUGGGUCCGGCUCAGAUGGGGCUCAGCUCCCCUCCCAAAGGGACAGGAGGCCGGGUGCCCUCCCUUGUCAGAUGAAACCCCGGCCCAGGGCUCCUUCAGCCUGAUGAAAGGGUCAUUGUGUGGUGCGGGCCGCCCGCUGGCCAAGGACAAAACCACCGUUUGUCCUCCGUCCCUGGCGCGGGGCUGGGGGCCUCACCUCAGGCUGGCCAGCAGGGUGGGGGUGGGUACAGGUGCGCUCUCUCCCCCCUUCAUUGUCUUCCCACUCAGCCUGCCUGGGGCCCCUCCUCCAUCCCUGCCUCUCACCCAGGGUGUUCUCGUCCUCUGAGCGUGGGUCCUGAGGCUUGGGUCAGCUCCACUGUUGGCAGAGAGGCAGUGAGUUCUCCAGCCCUGGAGGCAUACAAG
rnacentral:lncRNA from 1 species